CGUCAACAAAGGAAUUCUUAUUCACAUACAGGUUGGACUAGAUGGUCUAAAAGUAGCUGAAGAUGAAGUCAUAAAACUAAAGUUUGUAUCCUGGUUCUGCUCGUUACUAGCUGUGUGUCUUUAGUUCAAUAUGGAACCAACAAGCUUGACAGAGGGCAAUGGACAUUGUUCAUUCUGUUACCAUAAAGGAGAAUGGAAAGAAUUAUCUUGGGAGACAUCUACUUUAAUGAAGGCAGAAUUCAUCAUUGGUGGGCAGCUGGUUGGUGAAGUGGACAGAGCACUGGACCUGUAGUGAAGAAGACCUGUGUUUAAAUCUGGCUUCCGAUACCAGUGUGUGAUGCUGGGCAAGUCACUUACCCCUGUUUGCCUCAGUUUCCUCAUCUGUAAAAUGAUCUGGAGACACAUAAAGGUGGAAUCAUUCAAGGCUUGAGUGAGCAGCACUGUGGUGAAUUUAGAAGUGAUGAGUUUAUCCUGGUAGGGGCAUCUUGUUUUAAAGUGGAGUGAAUUCCCUGGAAAUCAGGAAAAUCAAAAGUUGCCAGAGUCGUUGAAACAAGGCACCAGUAUACUUUCUAUUGGGAGGUACCUUCUUGACCCUAGAUAAAGGUUUGUACUCUGUAAAUUCAUCAGAUUGUUCAGGGAGUUCAUGAAAUUGAGCAUGGACUCUUCCUCUGAUCAAUAAUCACCUCCCUGACCACACUUGGAAGAAGUUAUUUUCUAAAGUAAGCAUAGAGC
rnacentral:lncRNA from 1 species